rnacentral:rRNA from 1 species
UGCCAGCCGCCGCGGUAAUACGGGGGGGGCAAGCGUUGUUCGGAAUUACUGGGCGUAAAGGGCUCGUAGGCGGCCAACUAAGUCGGACGUGAAAUCCCCAGGCUCAACCUGGGAACUGCGUCCGAUACUGGAUGGCUUGAAUCCGGGAGAGGGAUGCAGAAUUCCAGGUGUAGCGGUGAAAUGCGUAGAUAUCUGGAGGAAUACCGGUGGCGAAGGCGGCAUCCUGGACCGGCAUUGACGCUGAGGAGCGAAAGCCAGGGGAGCAAACGGGAUUAGAUA